CGCUGGCGGCAGGCCUACACAUGCAGUCGAGCGGAUGACGGGAGCUUGCUCCUUGAUUCAGCGGCGGACGGGUGAGUAAUGCCUAGGAAUCUGCCUGGUAGUGGGGGACAACGUUUCGAAAGGAACGCUAAUACCGCAUACGUCCUACGGGAGAAAGCAGGGGACCUUCGGGCCUUGCGCUAUCAGAUGAGCCUAGGUCGGAUUAGCUAGUUGGUGGGGUAAUGGCUCACCAAGGCGACGAUCCGUAACUGGUCUGAGAGGAUGAUCAGUCACACUGGAACUGAGACACGGUCCAGACUCCUACGGGAGGCAGCAGUGGGGAAUAUUGGACAAUGGGCGAAAGCCUGAUCCAGCCAUGCCGCGUGUGUGAAGAAGGUCUUCGGAUUGUAAAGCACUUUAAGUUGGGAGGAAGGGCAGUAAGUUAAUACCUUGCUGUUUUGACGUUACCGACAGAAUAAGCACCGGCUAACUCUGUGCCAGCAGCCGCGGUAAUACAGAGGGUGCAAGCGUUAAUCGGAAUUACUGGGCGUAAAGCGCGCGUAGGUGGUUUGUUAAGUUGGAUGUGAAAGCCCCGGGCUCAACC
rnacentral:rRNA from 1 species